GGCUCCAUCGUCUAACGGCUAGGACGUCACCUUUUCACGGUGAAAAUAGGGGUUCGAUUCCCCUUGGAGUCA
rnacentral:tRNA from 1 species